CCUACGGGAGGCAGCAGUGGGGAAUAUUGGGCAAUGGGCGAAAGCCUGACCCAGCCACGCCGCGUGAGUGAUGAAGGCCUUCGGGUCGUAAAGCUCUGUGGGGAGGGACGAAUAAGUGCCGUACUAACACUACGGCGCCCUGACGGUACCUCCUUAGCAAGCACCGGCUAACCAUGUGCCAGCAGCCGCGGUAAUACAUGGGGUGCAAACGUUGCUCGGAAUCAUUGGGCGUAAAGCGCGCGUAGGCGGUUACUUAAGUCGGAUGUGAAAGCCCUCGGCUUAACUGAGGAAGUGCACCCGAAACUGAGUAGCUAGAGUACGAAAGAGGGUCGCGGAAUUCCCGGUGUAGAGGUGAAAUUCGUAGAUAUCGGGAGGAACACCGGUGGCGAAGGCGGCGACCUGGGUCGAGACUGACGCUGAGGCGCGAAAGCGUGGGGAGC
rnacentral:rRNA from 1 species